UUGGAGGGCAAGUCUGGUGCCAGCAGCCGCGGUAAUUCCAGCUCCAAUAGCGUAUAUUAAAGUUGUUGCAGUUAAAAAGCUCGUAGUUGAAUUUCAGGCCUGGCUGGACGGUCCGCCCUUCGGGUGAGUACUGUCUGUGGUCGGGUCCUACCUUCUGGCGAAGCGUCAUGGCCUUAACCGGCCGUGGCGGGGAACCAGGACUUUUACUGUGAAAAAAUUAGAGUGUUCAAAGCAGGCAUAUGCUCGAAUACAUUAGCAUGGAAUAAUAGAAUAGGACGUGUGGUUCUAUUUUGUUGGUUUCUAGGACCGCCGUAAUGAUUAAUAGGGAUAGUCGGGGGCAUCAGUAUUCAAUUGUCAGAGGUGAAAUUCUUGGAUUUAUUGAAGACUAACUACUGCGAAAGCAUUUGCCAAGGAUGUUUUCAUUAAUCAGUGAACGAAAGUUAGGGGAUCGAAGACGAUCAGAUACCGUCGUAGUCUUAACCAUAAACUAUGCCGACUAGGAAUCGGGCGAUGUUGAAAAAAUGACGCGCUCGGCACCUUACGGGAAACCAAAG
rnacentral:rRNA from 1 species